UACGUAGGGUGCAGGCGUUAAUCGGAAUUACUGGGCGUAAAGCGUGCGCAGGCGGUUUGCUAAGUCAGGUGUGAAAUCCCCGGGCUUAACCUGGGAACUGCGGUUGUAACUGGCAAGCUGGAGUGUGGCAGAGGGGGGUGGAAUUCCACGUGUAGCAGUGAAAUGCGUAGAUAUUGGGAGGAACACCAGUGGCGAAGGCGGCUCACUGGACCGGAACUGACGCUGAGGCGCGAAAGCGUGGGGAGCAAACGGG
rnacentral:rRNA from 1 species